AGCACUUUCUGUGAUACUGCAUUAAAAUAAGUUUCAAAUUUAAAGACAUUAUGGUUGGAGUUUUUAUCAUUUUGAAAACUAAGUGAGGUUUACCUUGAGGCUGAAAACUGACCAAGUGGGAACUAUUCUGAAUGUUAAGUUUCAUAGUUAAGGUUAAACUUGAUUGUCAGUUCUGUCAUUUCUACUGGUUUGUUCUUCAUUCAUUUGAUCUCUGUUGCAUUCUUAGGUCCACUGAUUUAUUUCAUAUCAGCUACUGCAGCAGUGAGAAGAUCUACUUAUCAGACCCCCUUGAGGUUGUUGAUCUGUACAAAGUGCAAAGACAACGGAUUCUGAUUCUGCAUCAGCAUAUCGAAGCAAGAGUUCAAAAGCUGAAGGACAUCAAACAGGACGUGAAAGAAAUGAAAGAGAAAGUUAGCCAUCUGGAAGAGAAUCUAUCAAUCCAAGAAAGCGACAUAAAGCCCAUGUUGGAAAUGGAAGACAGGUGGG